rnacentral:rRNA from 1 species
UACGUAGGGGGCAAGCGUUAUCCGGAUUUACUGGGUGUAAAGGGGGCGCUGACGGCGAUGCAAGCCAGGAGUGAAAGCCCGGGGCCCAACCCCGGGACUGCUCUUGGAACUGCGUGGCUGGAGUGCAGGAGGGGCAGGCGGAAUUCCUGGUGUAGCGGUGAAAUGCGUAGAUAUCAGGAGGAACACCGGUGGCGAAGGCGGCCUGCUGGACUGCAACUGACGUUGAGGCCCGAAAGCGUGGGGAGCAAAUAGG